GACGAACGCUGGCGGCGUGCUUAACACAUGCAAGUCGAACGCGCCUGUCCUCUGGGUUUCUGGGGGGUGGGUGAGUGGCGAACGGGUGAGUAACACGUGAGUAACCUGCCCCCUUCUUCGGGAUAACGGUCUGAAAGGGCUGCUAAUACCGGGUAUUCACUGGUCUCCGCAUGGGGUCUGGUGGAAAGGUUUUUUUCUGGUGGGGGAUGGGCUCGCGGCCUAUCAGCUUGUUGGUGGGGUGAUGGCCCACCAAGGCUUUGACGGGUAGCCGGCCUGAGAGGGUGACCGGUCACAUUGGGACUGAGAUACGGCCCAGACUCCUACGGGAGGCAGCAGUGGGGAAUAUUGCACAAUGGGCGCAAGCAUGAUGCAGCGACGCCGCGUGAGGGAUGGAGGCCUUCGGGUUGGGAACCUCUUUCGCCCGUGGUCAAGCCGCGACGUGGGUCGUGGUGAGGGUAGUGGGUAAAGAAGCGCCGGCUAACUACGUG
rnacentral:rRNA from 1 species